rnacentral:rRNA from 1 species
CGGCGGACGGGUGAGUAACGCGUGGGUAACCUGCCUCAUACAGGGGGGUAACAGUUAGAAAUGACUGCUAAUACCGCAUAAGACCACGGUACCGCAUGGUACAGUGGUAAAAACUCCGGUGGUAUGAGAUGGACCCGCGUCUGAUUAGGUAGUUGGUGGGGUAACGGCCUACCAAGCCGACGAUCAGUAGCCGACCUGAGAGGGUGACCGGCCACAUUGGGACUGAGACACGGCCCAG